rnacentral:lncRNA from 1 species
AGGAGGGAGAUGUAGUAUCAAUGACCACACGAGUAUCCGUGCACCAAGGGCAAGACAUUGGGCUUUUCCCCUAGCAGUUCAUUCAGAGCCUGGGGAGGGAGAUGUAGUCUGAGUCAUAAGUUUUUAAUUUUUUAUUAGAGUCAGAUCCUUUUCUUUGCCAUAGGUUGAUAAUAGAGCCCAGGGAGAGAGAAGUAGUUUAGAAAGAUCGAGGUUUGAUGAGUAGUAGGGGCAUCAACAAGAUUAUUUAGGCUUGGUCUGAGGAGCAGUAUC